rnacentral:pre_miRNA from 1 species
AGCUUCCUGUAUCCUUGCUGAGAUUUCGUCAGCGAUCAACUCACUGGCGUUGGCUGAUGCAACUUCCCAAAUAAGUGAAGUG